CACACUUUCCAUAGGCUAUCCAUGACGAUAAAUAUAAUGUCAUAAAAACACAAUAAUAUAAAUACAAUCGUAUAAAAGCGAACAAACGCUGUGUUUGAAAUUCGACGCACGUGCGCCGCGGAAUGUUUUUGUUGCAACACAUACGGCGCUCGCAACGAAUAAAUAAUAAUAAAGGGAAACAAAUCAAAAUCGUAUUUUAUCGGGACGGUUGAUACGUUUGUUACGACAAAAGGUAAUUUUUUUUGCUUUGAGAUACGAUACACUUGUUUUUUUUUUCUUGUUUAUACACAGACAUCCGCGAUGUCUUUAAACUUUUUUUUAGACAAAACACGUCGAAACUUGGAUAACCUAAUAGCUUACAAAAAAAAAAAAUAAAAUAAAACUACAUGAAAUAUAAAUAUUAACGAUUUCGAUCAUACAUACAUACCUAAUCAGUAAUUUCACACUAGCGAGUAAACAAAAACCACGCAGACCGCGGCGGAAUCCUAAUAAUAAUGAAAUAAUAAUAAACUCAAAAUGCGAAAUGUCGGCUUUUACUCGGGCAAUGGGAAUCGAAAAACUGUUGUUUGUUUUUUUCCAUUUCAUCGUAAACCUCGCUAAAAUAGUAUUUUAAAUCGAAUUAUAUUUUCCUUUUCUAAUUUAUCGGUUUAACGAAAUAUAUAAACGAUCGGACGAACCCCCUCGAGCCCGCAGUCGUCAACGUUGUGUAAAAAUAUUAUAUUGCGUAUCCGAUAGGACCGGAGAUUACGGGUUUUUUUUUUUUUUUUUUUAUUUCAGGAAGGGGUCGUGCGCCGUUUACGUAAUAUGAUAUCGUAAGAUUUAUGUAGCAAAAAU